AAAUGAUCUUUCCUAAAAGUGUACUGACCCAAGGUCUACUUCUCUUUGUUGGUCGUCAGGGAGCUGCGCAAGCGUAGCGGCCACCGGGAGGAGUCGUCGGUCGUCAAGGAGCUCCAAGAAGGCAGCGGUGAUUGGAGUGGACUGCCUUGGGUUUUGACGUGCGAGUGUGCGCAGGAACUCCAGUUCAUGUCUCAAGAUAUCAUUUUCCUAAAAGAGUUAAUCCCAAGCAGUACAGACUCUCAAGCAUCAGGGUUGCCUUCUUGUGCCCACAAGGAAAUUCGGAGUUGUGUUCGCCUCAAUUUCUGCACCAAUCUUUGCAGCUCUGUAUUGUCCAACAAAAAUUUGUCGGUGGGUGCAAGGAUCAUAACUCCUGAUGCUGAUCGGACUGAAUCAAGGAUCAUGCUGGAGACAGCACAAAAUCUGAAAUGGACUCUACGAACAGCCGAUGUUUUCUCGGAUUAAUACAGUUAAAAGCCAAGGGAUAAGAAAAGCCUCAAAGACAAAGUAAAGAAGACGCCUUCAUGCGAGCUCUAAAGCCGAAGAUGGCGAGGAUCCCAAGGAAGCAGAAUUAAACCUUAGAAGCUUUCCAUAUCGUCUUCUAGCGAAGGAGGCCCAAGGUGGACUCCAACAAGGGAAGUUCUACAUGAUACGACGUAGAUAUAAAAAGACCAAAUUGUACUUAAUUAAUUGAGAAGUGUUAUUGUGUAGUAUGGCUGGCAGAGCGGUAGUUUCAUCCCAAGUUGUAUACCGGCCCGGUCUUAUAAAUAGAUGGACAAUAUUAUUGUUGUAA